GCGGAUGGUCGGAUGACCGCGUGCCGCAAGGCGCGAGGAAAGUCCGGACUCCAUGAAGCAAGGGUGCCGGGUAACGCCCGGCGGGGGCAACCCCAGGGAAAGCGCCACAGAGAACAGACCGCCCCGCUUGCGGGGUAAGGGUGAAACGGUGGAGUAAGAGCCCACCGCGGGACUGGCGACAGGACCGGCACGGCAAGCCCCACCCGGAGCAAUGCCGAAUAGGGGCCUCGUGCGGAAAGGUCCGGAACCACAGGGGCGACCCUGCCGGAGACCUCUGCAGGGAUGCUUCAGCCUGGAGGCCCGGGUUGGCAGCUGGAUCCCGUCCGCAAGGGCGGGGGCAGAUGAAUGGUCAUCCAGAGGGGGCGAUCCCUUGGACAGAAUCCGGCUUACAGGCCAUCCGCGCAA
rnacentral:RNase_P_RNA from 1 species